rnacentral:rRNA from 1 species
GAUGAACGCUGGCGGCGUGCCUAAUACAUGCAAGUCGAGCGAACAGACGAGGAGCUUGCUCCUCUGACGUUAGCGGCGGACGGGUGAGUAACACGUGGAUAACCUACCUAUAAGACUGGGAUAACUUCGGGAAACCGGAGCUAAUACCGGAUAAUAUAUUGAACCGCAUGGUUCAAUAGUGAAAGACGGUUUUGCUGUCACUUAUAGAUGGAUCCGCGCCGCAUUAGCUAGUUGUUAAGGUAACGGCUUACCAAAGCAACGAUGCGUAGCCGACCUGAGAGGGGGAUCGGCCACACUGGAACUGAGACACGGUCCAGACUCCUACGGGAGGCAGCAGUAGGGAAUCUUCCGCAAUGGGCGAAAGCCUGACGGAGCAACGCCGCGUGAGUGAUGAAGGUCUUCGGAUCGUAAAACUCUGUUAUUAGGGAAGAACAAAUGUGUAAGUAACUAUGCACGUCUUGACGGUACCUAAUCAGAAAGCCACGGCUAACUACGUG